ACAGCAGCCGCCGCGGUAAUACGUAGGGUGCAAGCGUUAAUCGGAAUUACUGGGCGUAAAGCGUGCGCAGGCGGUUAUAUAAGUCAGAUGUGAAAUCCCCGGGCUCAACCUGGGAACUGCAUUUGAGACUGUAUGGCUAGAGUGUGUCAGAGGGGGGUAGAAUACCACGUGUAGCAGUGAAAUGCGUAGAUAUGUGGAGGAAUACCGAUGGCGAAGGCAGCCCCCUGGGAUAACACUGACGCUCAUGCACGAAAGCGUGGGGAGCAAACAGGAUUAGAUACCCCGGUAGUCCCUGUCUCUUAUAC
rnacentral:rRNA from 1 species